UACAUCCCUUUGCUCUCAUCUGUCAAGAUGCUAGACUUCUCCUCUCUGACACCACCGCCAGAGAGUCUAGCUCCACUCCCACCACGUUACUGGCCUUCUCUACCAACUUGUCCAGUCUGUUUGCGUCCCUCGCGCUCAGCCCGCUGCCCCAGCAGGCCAUGGUGUACAAGAAGGCGCCUGCCACCACCGACUCGUAGAACAUCUUCUAUUCUAUUCUAUUCUAUUAUCAUUCUAUUUUUCCUGACCAAGUUUCCAUUGUGACUUGGACAUGACAUACUAGACUCACUUUUUGCCUGAAAAUGUAUACGAAUACCCUUAAUAUCAGUAACGGUCAACAUUUGCUGUCUUACAGAUUAAUGAAGCGUUCCGAAGGUGCACUGCUGUUCCACUGGAAUCAACAUUUAUGUCCCAACUGGACAGGUACACUCCAAAACUCCUGGAGCUCUUCAGUGCAAAAGGAGGAGUGACUGCAGCGCAUCAAGAACUUGUUGAUGGAACUGACACAGGACCCAAGUGCCUCUGCAGUGAAGAAGAGAGAUGUGACUGUGAGAUGCCUCAUAGAGUUACAUGGGAGAGAGUGGACAGGAGCUAAUCUCUGACUACUGGAACUGCAGAGACCACUGUUCAUGAGGACCUGGAAAUGAAGAAUAUGAGCAUCUACAUCUGUCGUGAGCCAAAUGCAGUAGGAAUCAUCAUUGAGGGAGUACCAGUCCUUACUCAUCUUGGAAACCUGGCCAAAGCAUGCUGCCUACUUCUGGGGUUGACGUAUGCACUUAAUCUUGAGUAUCCAUCCAAACUUACCAAAACAUUUGAGGUGUUUCAAAGACUUUUUGUGGGACUUGACACACUGCGCCCAAAACCAACCCCCAAAUUCAUGACUCUCAAAAACAAGCUUCUAGCUUAGGCAGUGAGCCAUGACUGUCAGCUUGCACUUUUGAACAGCUAUUUUCUUGUGUCUGUUCAAAAUCAUUAUACAUUGUUCAUUGAGUGGAAUUCUUCAGAAUGUUGUAAGGGUUUGUCCUGUUCAGGUUUUAAAGUUAAAGUUAAAGUUAAAGUACCAAUGAUUGUCACACACACACUAGGUGUGGCGAAAUUAUUCUCUGCAUUUGACCCAUCACCCUUGAUCACCCCCUGGGAGGUGAGGGGAGCAGUGGGCAGCAGCGGUGGCCGCGCCCUGGAAUCAUUUUUUUGGUGAUUUAACCCCCAAUUCCAACCCUUGAUACUGAGUGCCAAGCAGGGAGGUAAUGGGUCCCAUUUUUAUAGUCUUUGGUAUGACUCGGCCGGGGUUUGAACCCACAACCUACCGAUCUCAGGGCGGACACUCUAACCACUAGGCCACUGAGUAGGUUAUACAAAGCUCCAGGUCAUCGUUUCUGGUGUGUAAAUUAAGUUUUUUUUAUGUUUUAUACACACUAAAUUGCCCCACUGUGAAGCUCCAGCUGGUCAGAAGGAGGGAUCUGUGAGUUUUUUAAGUUCAAAUGUUUCAAAAUAUACACACUGAAAGACACUACAGUGAAGGUGUUCUGCUUGUGAAUUGUUACAGAAGUACAGAUAAUCUUAAUAUUAAAUUGUUUUAGCAAGAAACUAUACUGUGAAUGUUCUAAGUAAAACUUGAGAUGCUGAGGUCAUGCAUUCUUUUAUGCACUAAAUACUGAUGUUCUUGACUGUUAAUACUGUCCAGCUUAUUGACAGGUUUGGAUAUGGCUUGUGAAAAUGUUUUAAUAUGUAUACGGUUAAAAAAAGAAAACUACUGUGAAGGUGUUCUAUACAGCACUUUAAAAAGUUGAGGUCAUGCAUUCUUGUAUAAUAUGGAUGUUGACUGUUCAUACUGUCCAGCUCAUUGCCACUGUUUUUAUAUGGUAAUGAUUUAAUAAAGGUUGGAAUUUGA